rnacentral:rRNA from 1 species
UACGAAGGGGGCUAGCGUUGUUCGGAUUUACUGGGCGUAAAGCGCACGUAGGCGGAUCGAUCAGUCAGGGGUGAAAUCCCAGAGCUCAACUCUGGAACUGCCUUUGAUACUGUCGAUCCGGAGUAUGGAAGAGGUGAGUGGAAUUCCGAGUGUAGAGGUGAAAUUCGUAGAUAUUCGGAGGAACACCAGUGGCGAAGGCGGCUCGCUGGUCCAUUACUGACGCUGAGGUGCGAAAGCGUGGGGAGCAAACAGG